rnacentral:lncRNA from 1 species
UGAUGGAUGCUUGGUUACAAAGUCAGACAGCGGACCUUGACACUAAUGGCACUUCACAUUUCCCACAGAAUUGGCUCAGCAUAGCAAUGAAUUAUAUCUGAAUUAGAAUCUAACUAGUCUGUUUUACCAUGUAAUAUACAAUGGAAACAAUUCCAUUCUUUACUUGGACAUAUGAUAAAAUAUAAAUUACAGCUGUACUAACUUUUCACCAGACAUGCAAUUUUAUUCUAAAUACUUUAUAAUAAUAAACUUAUCUGCAAACAAAAUGUGUAAUUUGAAUAAUAAUUAAUUCAUUUAUUUCUAUACUAUAAACAUGACUGUGGUAUUACUCAGAAUCAUUUUAAUUUUGUGUUUCUCUUGGUGAUUUUAAAGUUGGUGACAGACUGGUCUGAUUUUGGAUAAAACAAAACUUUUCAAAUGAUCCUCCUAAAUUUGUGUUCCUUAUUACAAAACCUAUUUUGUUUACUGUGCCUUUCAAAUAUCAGGGCCACUGAAUAGACAUUUAAACUGGAAAAAAAAAUUAACCUUCCCCAAAUAUAUUCUAGUUGCUGACUACUUCCACGGUUUCAGCUGUGUCUCAACAAAGCAGAAGGUACACUCUUCUUGCAACUGGGCAGUUGAUUUCAAUGAGGAGUUAUUGCAUUUUCUGUGAAAACAAUAAGAUCAUAGGGUUCAAUCCCAAACUAUUUCUUUUCCUACAACAUUCCCUUUGUGACUAGCCCAUUUAAUUCAUUUUCUUAGCGUUACUUUUAGAAAGGAAUGUCUGUCCUUUUCUACUGUCUUAGAAGAAAAACUACUACAAAAUAAAUUUGAUUUUUUUCAAAUCUCAUAGGAAAAGUUUGUUGUAUAUUCAUAGUAUAUCUACAUAUAAUUGUAUGUGUUAUUACAUGAGUAAAGAAAAAUUAAAUCUUGACACUAUAAUGUGAAGUAUGUCAGCCAGGGAAGUCCCUAGUGGGUUAAUGUCUGCUUAGAAAUAGAAGUGAGAGAUUGAGAUAAAGCUUCCACAUAUUUCUAUAUGAAUUACUUCAUGAGCAUAUGGUCAUUUGAAAAUUAAUACGUCUAUGAGUAGUGAUUUCACUACUCUGAACCCAUAUUGAGAAUCUCAAACUGGAAUCCAAAAUUUGGAAUAGGGCUGAGGUUAAACUCUGGGUAGAAACUGCAAUAGUUUUCUCAAGGAUAUAUUUGCAACUGAUUGAAUUUAAUUUCAAUUGUACUAAUUUUCCAUGAGUUGAUUUGCAAUGUAUUCUUAUUUUUCAAUAAAACGUUGGGAAAUUCCAUGAGUAGGGAGAAGCUUGGUAGUUUUGCUUGUCUUCGUAUGGCUCUUCAUUGUUGCCCUGGGAUUCCGGGCUUUCCUUUUUAUUUCCUGAGUCUCAACAGUAUAUUUAAAUGUAUAAGUUUAAUCAAAUAUGCAUUGUGUUAAAUUUAUAUGAAACAUUGGAGACCAUAAAAUUUAGAUUUAUCUUAAUUUACAUUUUGAUAUUUUCCUUCUUCCAAAUAGUUUCAGAUAGUUGUAUGUUAUUUUCCUUGGAAUUUUUUUCAAUAAAUGAAAUUAUGUUAAAUACUC